AUGGUGGUCUUUUUGUUUUGAACUCUAAACACAGGUGCAAUGUAUUUGUGUACAUGUGUGUGUGUGUGAUGUGGUGGAUCCAGAGCUAGACAGUGACACAAGCAGCCGUCCAGCUGACACCCUGAACCACCUCAUGUCUACUAUGGAGAAUACCACCACCUCCACCAGGAAACCCCAUAGGGAUGAGGAGGACCAGCUGAGUGAGGAGGCAGCCAGGGUGAUCUGUGGGCUGGCUGACCUGUCCUUCAUGAAGGCUAAGGUCCUAAUGUUCCCCAUCACCCUCACACCAGCCGCUGGCUCUGGUACACUGCUAGAGUGAUGCACACAUGGAUGGAUGCACACACACACAAACACAGAAGACUUGUCCGCUUCAAAGCUAGAUUGAACAUUAAUGCAAAGUCAAAAUGUUGAUAAUCAGUAAUAUGGUGAAAUAGUUAGUCUUUUGUUCUGAAUGUAUUGAUGUAUUUAUGUUGUGACACAGUGGUUGAGGUCUAAGACUGAUCCACACUUACCUCCAGUCAUCUGCCUCGUUCCUCCAGUGGUCUUAGAUCAAUUUCCUGUUUCCCUUUUCAAGAUGAACAUUUUAUCUUCAUGUAUUUAUUAUUGAUGUGUGUAUAGUUAUUCAUGUAAAUUCAUCAUAAAUCCAUAGGAAAUAUAUUGUAUUUAAUAUUUACAUAACAGUUUGGAAAUAACAAUAUUUAUAUGAUAUAUGUUUGUGUUGUUGAUCUAGAGUGUGAUUUCCUCUUAAAUGGCACCCUAUUCCCUAUAUAGUGCACUAUUAUUGUCCAGAGCCAUAUGGGCCGUUGUGAAAAGUAGUGCACUACAUAGGGGAUAGAGUGCCAUUUGGGACAAACACCUAUCAUCAUGGGGUUAACUACUGUUAAAUAAUAUAAUAGCACAAGUCUUAAUGAAUAGGGCCUCCAGAACCCUAAUAUUUCUGAUUAGUGUCUCGGGGAAACACAGUCCUGUGUGUUCAGAUGAUCUGCCAUUAAAGGGACAAUCCACUAUUUGUACAUCCAUUUUUUUUAACCUUUAAAUGAAUGAAAUGUAGCCAUUGAUUGUUAAAGAAUUGAACGUAUAAUGCCUCCUGAUCUUAGUUCAACUGUUUUACCCAAUCAGAACCCAAAUGAUCAGCGUGUUUCACUACAUUGCUUGUAAAUAAUGUAAUUGGUAACUAACGCUGUAAUGCUUCAGAAUGUGGUUAAACUAUCAUGUUGAUCUCAUGGAUGGUCAGUCCUUGCAUCCAUCCUUGCUUCAUCUUUGAAUUUGAGUGGUUUAAUUUCUCCAGCUCCAUCCCUCAGCUGUUUACCAAAAGAAAGUAGCGGGCGGCCAUUUAGUUAUUUGAAUCCCAGAUUGCCCCUUUAAGGAUAAUGGGACAGUGAUGCUCACAUGUAAAGAGGGAUCAGUGUUUGCGGAAAUAUAUUUUAUUUGAUUCCUUA